GACGAACGCUGGCGGCGUGCUUAACACAUGCAAGUCGAACGGAAAGGCCCUGCUUUUGUGGGGUGCUCGAGUGGCGAACGGGUGAGUAACACGUGAGUAACCUGCCCUUGACUUUGGGAUAACUUCAGGAAACUGGGGCUAAUACCGGAUAGGAGCUCCUGCUGCAUGUGGGGGUUGGAAAGUUUCGGCGGUUGGGGAUGGACUCGCGGCUUAUCAGCUUGUUGGUGGGGUAGUGGCUCACCAAGGCUUUGACGGGUAGCCGGCCUGAGAGGGUGACCGGCCACAUUGGGACUGAGAUACGGCCCAGACUCCUACGGGAGGCAGCAGUGGGGAAUAUUGCACAAUGGGCGGAAGCCUGAUGCAGCAACGCCGCGUGCGGGAUGACGGCCUUCGGGUUGUAAACCGCUUUCGCCUGUGACGAAGCGUGAGUGACGGUAAUGGGUAAAGAAGCACCGGCUAACUACGUG
rnacentral:rRNA from 1 species